GAGGGUAUAGCUCAGUGGUAGAGUGCAUGCCUAGCAAGCAUGAGGUCCUGGAUUCAAGUCCAUUAUCUCCG
rnacentral:tRNA from 1 species